rnacentral:rRNA from 1 species
GACGAACGCUGGCGGCGUGCUUAACACAUGCAAGUCGAACGGAAAGGCCCUGCUUUUGUGGGGUGCUCGAGUGGCGAACGGGUGAGUAACACGUGAGUAACCUGCCCUUGACUUUGGGGUAACUUCAGGGAACUGGGGCUAUUACCGGAUAGGAUCUCCUGCUGCAUGGUGGGGGUUGGAAAGAUUCGGCGGUUGGGGAUGGACUCGAGGCUUAUCAGCUUGAUGGUGGGGUAGGGGCUUACAAAGGCUAUGAAGGGUAGCCGGCCUGAGAGGGUGACCGGCCACAUUGGGACUGAGAUACGGCCCAGACUCCUACGGGAGGCAGCAGUGGGGAAUAUUGCACAGUGGGCGGAAGCCUGAUGCAGCAACGUCGCGUGCGGGAUGACGGCUUUCGAGUUGUAAACCGCUUUCGCCUGUGACGAAGCGUGAGUGACGGUAAUGGGUAAGAAAGCACCGGCUAACUACGUG